AGUGAACGCUGGCGGUAGGCCUAACACAUGCAAGUCGAACGGCAGCACAGUAAGAGCUUGCUCUUACGGGUGGCGAGUGGCGGACGGGUGAGGAAUACAUCGGAAUCUACUUUUUCGUGGGGGAUAACGUAGGGAAACUUACGCUAAUACCGCAUACGACCUACGGGUGAAAGCAGGGGAUCCUCGGACCUUGCGCGAUUGAAUGAGCCGAUGUCGGAUUAGCUAGUUGGCGGGGUAAAGGCCCACCAAGGCGACGAUCCGUAGCUGGUCUGAGAGGAUGAUCAGCCACACUGGACCUGAGACACGGUCCAGACUCCUACGGGAGGCAGCAGUGGGGAAUAUUGGACAAUGGGCGCAAGCCUGAUCCAGCCAUACCGCGUGAGUGAAGAAGGCCUUCGGGUUGUAAAGCCCUUUUGUUGGGAAAGAAAAGCAGCAGGUUAAUACCCCGCUGUUCUGACGGUACCCAAAGAAUAAGCACCGGCUAACUUCGUG
rnacentral:rRNA from 1 species